rnacentral:lncRNA from 1 species
GGGAGGUCAACUGUGCAAAGACCAGGGAAGGUUACACAGAAAAGUUAGAAAACAAUAUGCCACAAGGCCCAAGAAUAUAGUGAUUAGGUUUUCAGAGUCUAGAAUAGGGCAAACAGUCUCUCUACUACCUUCAAGUGAAUACUAAAGAAAUGGACAACAGGAGAGGCAGGGAAGAGGCAAAAUAUGUAAGGGACUGAAAAUAUGGCUAAAGGUUAACUCAGAUGAGAGAGAAAAGUUAACACGGAUAACUAAAACUCACCAAGAAUGCCCUACCCUCCUCCCAAUCAUUUCAGCCAAUAGUUCCAAUCUUCAUUUUCAUUAACCUUUUUACUGGGAACUGCUAAGAAGCUGACACUGACAGUUUCAGUUUCAUCUACUUUACCUCUCUCACUGCCCAACUCUACUUUAUGGCAGUGAAAAAAGCAGUGCAAUGGCCAAGCAGAAAGAAGGGGCCUUGAUGAUUCCCCAACUGUACAAUUAGGCCACCGAGACUUGACUAUUUUAAUCUCUAAUCUACAAGAGGAAAAAAACAUUAUUUCCUCAAUUUAAAAUGAAACCAAAACAAAAGACUUUCAAUGAAUAACCUCUAAUUGCUUCAUCAUUUCAUAUGUAUUAAGCAUCAACAAUGUGCUACUAAAAGAGAAGUCUUAUAUGCAGAUUCCUCAGUGUCAAAACAGGAAUGAGAGCUCAGAUGGCCUGACUCGUAGUUCCUGUUCUAACCAUUACGCCACACUCUUUGUGUUUAGACAGAAAGGAAAGCACUUUAUAUCAGGGGAAAACCCAAUUCAUAAGUGUCAUGAUUCAUAACCAUCAGAACCUCGUUCCUAGAGGAGACAGGCUGGCCCCCCUUCUGAAACCGGUCACCUAGAGCUGCAUCCAGCUGUACUAUACAGAGCGUUUGCAAUAUUCAGACUAAUGACUUCAAAAGGUGUAGCCUUUUGUUGGCGGGGAGGUGAUCCCACAACGAGCAACUGCAAUGGCAGCAGUGAUCAACUAACAACAGUCUACAAAGCCCACUUGGACCCCUGGAUUUGGACUUUUUUCUUGGUGUCCCAGCAGCAUCCCUGGAACAUCUGACAGCAGUGCCUGCCUACAUGAGGAGCCAAGGACAGAUUGGAUCUGAUAAGGAAAGCAGAUUAUAAGCUCUACAUAGAAGAGCCCAACAGAAAAGCUAAUGCCAUAUGACAGAAGGGGAGCAUCUUGAGUCUACCAACAGGACUUCCAGGAACUCUGAGUUAACCCUUUGCCACAUAUGCUUUCUGAGCUUGAGCCCCACUUCCUCCUGGACUCUGUAUGUACCUGUCAGGACAAUAUGCCAUAGACUUUGGGGGGACGUUUAAUACCAACUGUAUCAACUAUACCACCUUUGUAAAUACCCCUAAUUAAAAUGUAAUUACAUCAGGCCAAUUAGUUGUCAGUCAAAUAGUGGAAAUGAAUAAUAAAAUUUAUUGGAAUAGACA